rnacentral:rRNA from 1 species
CCGGCGACCGGCGCACGGGUGAGUAACACGUAUGGAACCUGCCCGCAGCAAGGGGAUAAGCGGAAGAAAUUCCGUCUAAUACCGCGUAACAACGUUGGGAGGCAUCUCCCGAUGUUUAAAGAUUUAUCGGCUGCGGAUGGCCAUGCGGCGCAUUAGCUAGUCGGCGGGGUAACGGCCCACCGAGGCGACGAUGCGUAGGGGUUCUGAGAGGAAGGUCCCCCACACUGGUACUGAGACACGGACCAGACUCCUACGGAAGGCAGCAG